rnacentral:rRNA from 1 species
UAAUGAGUUAGGGUCCUCCAGGCCCGACCUCCAACCCUUUGUUUAACUACCAUGUUGCUUUGGCGGGCCCGUCUUUAACCGGACCGUCGGGGGUUUUAAACCCCUGGCCAGUGCCCGUCAGUAGCCUACCACAAAUUCUUUUUAACCAUGUUAUAUCUGAAAAUAGUUAAAUAAACUAAAACUUUCAACAACGGAUCUCUUGGUUCUGGCAUCGAUGAAGAACGCAGCGAAAUGCGAUAAGUAAUGCGAAUUGCAGAAUUCAGUGAGUCAUCGAAUCUUUGAACGCACAUUGCGCCCUUUAGUAUUCUGAAGGGCAUGCCUGUUCGAGCGUCAUUAUCACUAAUCAAGCCUGGCUUGCUGUUGGGUCUCUUUGUCGUUCAAACCGACAGGCCCUUAAGAUAACGACGGCGUUAUUUGGACCCUAGAUGCAACGAGCUUUUAUUAGCACGCGUUUAGUCGGACCUUUUAACCCGGUCUUUUUAACCAAUUUCUCAAGGUUGACCUCGGAUCAGGUAGGAAUACCCGCUGAACUUAAGCAUAUCAAUAAGCGGAGGAAAAGAAACCAACAGGGAUUACCUCAGUAACGGCGAGUGAAGCGGUAAUAGCUCAAAUUUGAAAUCUGGCUCUUUCAGGGUCCGAGUUGUAAUUUGUAGAGGAUGUUUCGGGCACGGCUACGGUUUAAAUUUCUUGGAACAGAAUGUCAUAGAGGGUGAGAGUCCCGUCUUGAACCGAUUGCUUCGUCCAUGUGAAACUCCUUCGACGAGUCGAGUUGUUUGGGAAUGCAGCUCAAAAUGGGUGGUAAAUUUCAUCUAAAGCUAAAUAUUGGCCAGAGACCGAUAGCGCACAAGUAGAGUGAUCGAAAGAUGAAAAGCACUUUGAAAAGAGAGUUAAACAGUAUGUGAAAUUGUUGAAAGGGAAGCGCUUGUAAUCAGACUUGAGCUUAACAGUUCCCCCUUCGUUCUCGUUGGGUUAUUCUGUUUUGUCCAGGCCAACAUCAGUUCGAGUGGUUGGUUAAAGACUUUGGGAAUGUAUCUAUCCUCCGGGGUCGACUUAUAGCCCAGAGUGUCAUGCAGCCUA